rnacentral:rRNA from 1 species
ACACGGAGGGUGCGAGCGUUAAUCGGAAUUACUGGGCGUAAAGCGUACGUAGGCGGUUUGCUAAGUCAGAUGUGAAAGCCCCGGGCUUAACCUGGGAACUGCAUUUGAUACUGGCAGACUAGAGUAUGAUAGAGGGGGGUAGAAUUCCUGGUGUAGCGGUGAAAUGCGUAGAUAUCAGGAGGAAUACCAGUGGCGAAGGCGGCCCCCUGGAUCAAUACUGACGCUGAGGUACGAAAGCGUGGGGAGCGAACAGGAUUAGAAACCCUAGUAGUCC